AUCCUCCCCGAGCCACGCCUGGAUGACAUCCCUGCUGCUUCACCUUCAGCAUGUCAACGCAGAGCUUCUGCUCCAGCUUUCAGACCUGAUGCUGCUGUCUGUGGAGGAUGGUUAAGUCAAAGCACUAGUGGUCCUCCAACUUCAGUCAAGGGCGAGAGGCACGCAGAGCCGGAGCUGAGAGAAGACAUGGACAGAUGCAUGAGAAUUUAGGUGUGAUCGUUAACAAGUGGGCGGAGAGACUGGCAAUGGGAGGCACUUCAUGGAGAGGAGAGAGACUUGAGUUCUGGCAUCCACGCUUGUUGUUGAUCUUCCUGCACUUGUUUUUGUCCCAUUGUAGUUAGUCUUCCUCUUAUUUUUCUGUUUUGUUUCUAAUUUACUCAGUUGAUUAAUAAAUCCCCUAGAUAAACAAGAC